rnacentral:rRNA from 1 species
AUUGAACGCUGGCGGCAUGCCUUACACAUGCAAGUCGAACGGCAGCACGGGAGCAAUCCUGGUGGCGAGUGGCGAACGGGUGAGUAAUAUAUCGGAACGUGCCCAGUCGUGGGGGAUAACGCAGCGAAAGCUGUGCUAAUACCGCAUACGAUCUACGGAUGAAAGCGGGGGACCGCAAGACCUCGCGCGAUUGGAGCGGCCGAUAUCAGAUUAGCUAGUUGGUGGGGUAAAAGCCCACCAAGGCGACGAUCUGUAGCUGGUCUGAGAGGACGACCAGCCACACUGGAACUGAGACACGGCCCAGACUCCUACGGGAGGCAGCAGUGGGGAAUUUUGGACAAUGGGCGCAAGCCUGAUCCAGCAAUGCCGCGUGCAGGAUGAAGGCCUUCGGGUUGUAAACUGCUUUUGUACGGAACGAAACGGCUCUUUCUAAUAAAGAGGGCUAAUGACGGUACCGUAAGAAUAAGCACCGGCUAACUACGUGCCAGCCGCCGCAGUAA